CCUGUGCGGAAGAAUGCCAAGGAGACCAGGACUGUGGGGUAGGACGUCUAUGUGUCAGCAACGGAUGCGGCCAUGUCUGCUGGCCAGCCCUAGACCGAGAUGGAUCAAGACCUGGAAGUUGUCCAAGGCUGCCUCCAGGAACUAUUGGACCUUGUGUUGAACUGUGUAGCGGAGAUGAAUCUUGUCCCAUGGGACAAAAAUGCUGCAGCCAUGGUUGUGGCCACUCCUGCCAAACUGCUGUUCAAGAUGAGGAAGACUUCUCU